GACGAACGCUGGCGGCGUGCUUAACACAUGCAAGUCGAGCGGUAAGGCCCUUUCGGGGGUACACGAGCGGCGAACGGGUGAGUAACACGUGGGUGACCUGCCCUCAGCUCUGGGGUAAGCCUGGGAAACCGGGUCUAAUACCGGAUAUGACUCCAUGACGCAUGUUGUGGGGUGGAAAGCCUUGUGCGGCUGAGGAUGGGCCCGCGGCCUAUCAGCUUGUUGGUGGGGUGAUGGCCUACCAAGGCGACGACGGGUAGCCGGCCUGAGAGGGCGACCGGCCACACUGGGACUGAGACACGGCCCAGACUCCUACGGGAGGCAGCAGUGGGGAAUCUUGCGCAAUGGGCGAAAGCCUGACGCAGCGACG
rnacentral:rRNA from 1 species